rnacentral:RNase_MRP_RNA from 2 species
ACGUCCAUGGUCAAAGAUUUGUUAUCGAAGCUUACGAACGGAUCAGAUAUUUCUGAUCACACUUAAAUGCUUUGGGGAAAGUCUCCGGCCGCAAUAGUGGAAACGCAGCGGAUUCUUCAAUCUGUUUUGGGAAUUGAUUUCUGAUUACGAGUAUAAGUUGUAUCUGAAGAAAGGUUAAGACCAUCAUUGAAACGAUGCUGAUCUAUUUUGGAUCUCAGUGAGGCCUCUGGUCUUCAGCAUUGAAUUUAUGUCAUUGGUUUUGACUUGACUUCUGAUGCUUUAAGCAAAUAUGAGAGUCAGCUAGUCGAUUUUCUUAUCGCUGGGUUGGAUUACCAUACCUAUGUUACUUACUUCGGCAAUGGAAUUGUUUGGUAUUCUAAACGAUAGAUAUAACAAAUGAUUAAACGUAUUGUUUAAUCAACCCAAUGGAGCUCACUCUUGGCCAAUGGACG